rnacentral:tRNA from 1 species
GAUUCAGUAGUGUAGGGGUAUCAUGGGCGCUUGCCAGCAAAGCAUUCUGCGCCCGACCCGGGUUCAAAUCCCGGCUGAAUCA